rnacentral:rRNA from 1 species
UACGUAGGGUGCAAGCGUUGUCCGGAAUUAUUGGGCGUAAAGAGCUCGUAGGCGGUUUGUCGCAUCUGCUGUGAAAACGCGAGGCUCAACCUCGCGCCUGCAGUGGGUACGGGCAGACUAGAGUGCGGUAGGGGAGAUUGGAAUUCCUGGUGUAGCGGUGGAAUGCGCAGAUAUCAGGAGGAACACCGAUGGCGAAGGCAAAUCUCUGGGCCGUAACUGACGCUGAGGAGCGAAAGCAUGGGGAGCGAACAGG